AGUCGAACGAAGAGCGAUGGGAGCUUGCUCCUAUCAAUCUUAGUGGCGAACGGGUGAGUAACGCGUAAUCAACCUGCCCUUCAAUGGGGGACAACAGUUGGAAACGACUGCUAAUACCGCAUACGAUCGUAAUUCGGCAUCGAGAUACGAUGAAAGGUGGCCUUUAUUUAUAAGCUAUCGUUGAAGGAGGGGAUUGCGUCUGAUUAGCUAGUUGGAGGGGUAACGGCCCACCAAGGCAAUGAUCAGUAGCCGGUCUGAGAGGAUGAACGGCCACAUUGGGACUGAGACACGGCCCAAACUCCUACGGGAGGCAGCAGUGGGGAAUCUUCCGCAAUGGACGAAAGUCUGACGGAGCAACGCCGCGUGAGUGAUGAAGGUCUUCGGAUUGUAAAGCUCUGUUAAUCGGGACGAAAGAGCCUAGUGUGAAUAAUGCUAGGAAGUGACGGUACCGGAAUAGAAAGCCACGGCUAACUACGUGCCAGCAGCCGCGGUAAUACGUAGGUGGCAAGCGUUGUCCGGAAUUAUUGGGCGUAAAGUGCGCGCAGGCGGAUCUGCCAGUCUGUCUUAAAAGUUCGGGGCUUAACCCCGUGAUGGGAUGGAAACUACAGAUCUAGAGUAUCGGAGAGGAAAGUGGAAUUCCUAGUGUAGCGGUGAAAUGCGUAGAUAUUAGGAAGAACACCAGUGGCGAAGGCGACUUUCUGGACGAAAACUGACGCUGAGGCGCGAAAGCCAGGGGAGCGAACGGGAUUAGAUACCCCGGUAGUCCUGGCCGUAAACGAUGGGUACUAGGUGUAGGAAGUAUCGACCCUUUCUGUGCCGCAGUUAA
rnacentral:rRNA from 1 species